UAGACAAACAGUAAAUAUUUAAUGGCGUUGCGCAAUGUGAGCAUCUAGCGCAGCCAUGACUGUCUUGAGAAUGCAGAUCUGUAUUCUCGCGGUAGAGCACAUAUCUCGUUCUGCUGAAAGAGGGCUACAACAACAAGACCUGUUAACUUUCAAAAUCAAGUGUCAAGCCUUCAAUGUCUGUACCCAAGUCCACAGAGUCCCCGGGUUCUGGCUGUGGUGUUCCAGCCCAGAGAAGUUCUCAGCAGGGUCCAGAGAUGGUCUCAGUGAAGCUGGAGGACUGCAGUCAAACACUGGAACUUAAUGUGAUUGUCAAAGAGGAAUGGGAGGAGAGCGGAAUCGAGGAGGAGAUAGAAGUAAAAGAGGUUGAUCAGAGAGCAGUCAAAGAGGAGGUGGAGGAGAGAGAAGUCAAAAAGGAAGUAGAGAUGGCAGUCAAAGAAGAGCAUGAGAGAACAGUCAAAGAAGAAGAAGAGCAGGGGGAGCGAACAGUCAAAGAAGAAGAGCAGGAAGAUAGAACAGUCAAAGAAGAAGAGCAGGGGGAGCGAACAGUCAAAGAAGAAGAGCAGGGGGAGCGAACAGUCAAAGAAGAAGAGCAGGGGGAGCGAACAGUCAAAGAAGAAGAGCAGGGGGAGCGAACAGUCAAAGAAGAAGAGCAGGGGGAGCAAACAGUCAAAGAAGAAGAGCAGGGGGAGCAAACAGUCAAAGAAGAAGAGCAGGAAGAUAGAACAGUCAAAGAAGAAGAGCAGGGGGAGCGAACAGUCAAAGAAGAAGAGCAGGGGGAGCAAGCAGUCAAAGAAGAAGAGCAGGGGGAGCGAACAGUCAAAGAAGAAGAGCAGGAAGAUAGAACAGUCAAAGAAGAAGAGCAGGGGGAGCGAACAGUCAAAGAAGAAGAGCAGGGGGAGCAAGCAGUCAAAGAAGAAGAGCAGGGGGAGCGAACAGUCAAAGAAGAAGAGCAGGGGGAGCAAACAGUCAAAGAAGAAGAGCAGGGGGAGCAAACAGUCAAAGAAGAAGAGCAGGGGGAGCGAACAGUCAAAGAAGAAGAGCAGGGGGAGCAAGCAGUCAAAGAAGAAGAGCAGGAAGAUAGAACAGUCAAAGAAGAAGAGCAGGAAGAUAGAACAGUCAAAGAAGAAGAGCAGGAGAGAGCAUUCAAAGAAGAAGAGGAGAACAGGGAAGUGUCUGCUCCAGAUCUAGAGGAAGAGGAGGAAGUAGAUAGUAUCCCUGACCCAGGAGAGAGCUCCCAUCCAGGCUCAGACAGCGAUCCCAGUACCACAGCAUCAGGAAACCAUAAACGCAGGCAUAGGAACUCAAGACAGAAACAUCACAACAGCAUGGACUGCUUCACUGGUUUCUAUGAACCAGAGGAGUUGAAAAUGCACACGUGUAGGCCCCACCCCUGUUCAGAUUGCAUAGGCAGUUUUAUUUGUCCAAUUCACUUCAAAUCACACCAACAAACUCUCAAAAUAAAGAAAAUGUACCCGUGCGCUCAUUGUGAGAAGAGUUUUCAGACCCCAAGCAGCUUGAAGACGCACCAGCUUAAUCACACGGGAAAGAAGUCGUACCACUGCUUUCAGUGUGGGAAGAGGUUCUGUCGUGUAGACACCUUAAAGGCUCACAAGAGAAUACACACAGGAGAGAAGCCUUUUCACUGUUCUCAGUGUGGGAAGAGCUUCAGUGAUAUAGGAAAUCGAAAUAAACACCAGAGAAUACACACAGGAGAGAAGACUUACCACUGCUCUGAGUGUGGGAAAAGUUUCAAUCAGUUAUCACAUUUAAAACCACACCAGCUAACUCACACAAGUGAGAAGCCUUUUCACUGCUCUCAGUGUGGGAAGGGUUUCAGUCUGUCAUCAUAUCUGAAGAAGCACCAGGUAAUGCACACAGAAGAGAAACCAUACAGCUGCGAUCAUUGUGGGAAGAGUUUUAAAUUGGAAGGAAUCCUUAAGCGUCAUCAGAGAAUACACAGUGGAGAGAAGACUUACCACUGCUCAGAGUGCGGGAAGUGUUUCAGUGUGUCAUCAUAUCUGAAGAGACACCAGCUAACUCACACAGGAUUAAAGUCACACCACACAGGAAUAAAGUCACAACACUGCUCCCACUGUGGGAAGAGCUUCAGUAAGAAAGCUGACCUAAAGAAACAUCAGAGAACACACACAGGGGAGAAGCCUUUCCACUGCUCCCAAUGUGGGAAGAGCUUUAAUGAGAAAGGCAAUCUAAAGCAACACCAGAGAAAACACUCAGGAGAGAAGCCUUGCCACUGCUCCCAAUGUGGAAAAAGCUUCAGUUGGGUAAUAGACCUAAAGAAACAUCAGAAAGUACACAAAGAGGAGAGGCCUUUCCACUGCUCCCAAUGUGGGAAGAGCUUCAAUGAGAAAGGAAAUCUAAAGCAACACCAGAGAAGACACUCAGGAGAGAAACCGUACAGCUGUGAUCAGUGUGGGAAUUGUUUUAAAUGGAAACAAAGCCUGAAGGAACAUCAGAAGGCAAAGCACAGUGCAGUGCCAGACCACGGCCUUAUAAUUGUGUUGCCAAGCUGGGCAUCUACAUCUAAUUAAUAUUUACAUUAACCAGGUUUCCAUCUAACCUUUUUGUGUGAGUAAACUUGGCUGUUAGCUUUCCAAAUGCCGACAAAACAAAAUAUGCUUGACAAGGUGGGGAUCUUUUUGUGUCUGUAAAAUGUAUUAUGCGAGAAAUGUUGGUGGAAAUGCUCUUAUGUGUUAAUAUUGAUAUAGUAAUCAUCAUAUCAGCAAUCAUCAUAUGGGGCGGCAGGUAGCCUAGUGGUUAGAGCGUUGGGCCAGUAACCGGUUUUUAUUUGGGUACAUUAAAACCUAAGCAAAAAUCUACAUUUUGUUUUGCACUGAAUUUAUAUCUGCAACGAGUCAGUUUUGUGGAAACACAACUGGUGAGAAAAUGUGCCUAUUAUCUUUAUGCUGAUGUUAGAAUAUUUGAUGAAAAUCUGUCGCCAAUUGGAUGGAAACCAGGCUAGUGUUUGUUUUGUUAGGCUAAAUAGAUGUAAUAUUUGCCAUCUGUAUUCUAGUAUGUUGAAUUAUGCAAAAGAGCAAGAUUUCUGACAAGGAGUCGAGUCGAGUCACAAGUCAUGAAAAUCGUGAAUUGAUUACGAGUCAAGUCUAAGUACUGGACUCAAGUACUACAACACUGACAGCCACUCCUCUAUUUGGAAUGUUUUAUUUGUGAAAAUGUAUGUCAUUUCUCUAGUGUUGGUCUGGUCCAGAAACUAACUUCAACUAGACCCCCAUUGUAGAUCUGAAGAAACUGAUAAACAUCUGGUAUUUUUCUUAUUAAAAACAAACCCAUUUUAUUUAUUUUAGCUAAAACAAAAUGUCAUUUUUUGCUCAUGUUUUAAUGUACCCAAAUAAAAACCUAAAGUUCAAUGUGUUUCCAUCACAAUUUCAACUCUACUGAUGGUUUUGUUAUAAAAAACUGUUGCGUUAAAUUGGCACGUGCGCUCUAGCCAACAGCUCACAGAUACAGCUAAACUUCCAAACCCUUUAAAUUAGUCAGGUUUGCUUUUAAUAGGUUUAAAUGUCACAUUCAGCUUUAUGUCAUCUUUUUCUGUGUCAUUAUGUUUGUGUUUAUUUGUGAUUCAAUGUCAGCGUUCUGAGACACACCAUAAUGUAAAAACGGAAUAUUACCGUACUGUUCAUGCUGCUUAGUGCUAAAUGUGGGAAUCGUUCAGAAUACCUGAUUGUAUUAUCACUACCUAACCUAACUGAAGAGAUUGCAAUAGGUGUAGUAGCUCCGUUCAAUCACAAGAUGGAACUAUCGACCCUUAAUAAAAAACAGCUUGAGUAAAAAGUUGCUUUGUUUCGUCAGUGGUGUAGUGGUGCCUGGAGAAGUGGGGUGUACUUUAAUUUUGCCCAAAUUUUUCCAAACGGCUAGACUUAAAAUGUAAAAUGAUAAAUCCCAUAUUGGUCUUUCACAGUCAGGCCAACCCAAACGGUACUAUGCAGGAGGCCUACUAUUGAAACCAAUAAAUGGAGUUAGAAAUUCACAGGUUUCAAACUUUCCCCAUUUUUAUUUUUCAGGUCACACGUUUUUUCUCUCAAAAAAAUUACAAAAUUGUAGGUUCUAAAUCCAUAACGAUGCUUAACCCACAUCAGGAGACGACUUUUGCGGUCUGGGAAUAAUCUAACAUUUACAUUUUUGAGAGUAGUUACUCAUUGUUUCAAGUGUGCAGGCACCUAGCACUAUUGUCUGAUUAUAAGUGUUUCUGUAGUAUAUGAGGGAAUUUGCAGAAGGAAUGGCCACUGGAUUGACGCAAAUAAUCAUGAUAUCAUUCUGACAGGUAGUCAGUCAUAGGCUACUUUGUAGCUAGUUAACAUUUAAUAUAGAAUGUUUUUGGGCGGGCCUUUCCAUCUACCAUAAGACGGCUAGGCCAAUCAUAAGCGUCGCUAUAUUUAUCCUGUUCCUUAAUUGUUUGACAUUGUGUUUUACGUCAUAUUAUGAGGCAUAUCUUAUAUUGCUUCAAACUAGCCUAUAGCUUAAAUCCCACCAUAGAAAUGUUGAGGCAAUACAUUUGUAUAAAGACUUACUCAUAUGCAUUCUCCUGUUCUAUUGGGUUUUCUUUCAACUUUAUUUCAUUGUCUAGCACCUAAAGGCAUGAUGCUGAUCAUAUCGUCAAACCGUGAUAGUUGUUGCAUCUUUAAAUCCACUCUCUUCAUAAUGUAUAUCUCCAUCUCUGUUUAUGAAACCGCUUGUUUUUUUAGAACUGUACGUGUUUCCCUGCUAAUUGCAUUUCGUAGGUCUACUGCCGCGCCUAAAAUGCGAAGAAAUAACAGUUCAGUAACAUUUUAAGAUAAACAUUCCGAUCUGUUCCGUAAUCCCUAUUAAUCGAUACAGGGUAUACGUCCACUACACUACUCUUGAUACGUAUCAGUGGGGAUUUAAGAUUUAAGAAUUAAGUAUAUGCAUUUAAGAUUUAAGUAUAUGCAAUGCCCACUAAGUGAGUGUACAGCAUAUACCUGUGUAUGUGACAGGUUAAAGGACAUAUCCAUAGCCUGUUAUACAUUAAAAAGUAUUAGUAAGUUCAUAAUAGUAUGUGAGGAUCUUAAAACAUCUAAGGUUAAAAAGAUCAUGCAUUCAGUAUUAGUUGAUAGAGAUUGAUAACAUUCAUAUAAUUGUGUUAAAGUUAAAAAUCCGUCAAGCGUACAAAGGGUACGAAUUGUGAGAGUAAUGUGUAAACGUUAUAUUGAUUACUUUAUUUUGUGGUGCCUAAAAGUGUUAAUCUGUGAUCUACUAAAUGCUCUUAAUCUAUGAGCCUGAGAUCGAUUGCUCUGGUCUCCACCCAUAUUCCCGGGGAAAUCGCGGUCUUUUCUCAUUGCACUAAAAGUUGAAUUGAGAAAACAACACCGUAUUACUCUCGUGAUUAUUUAUCCUCUUUUUCAGCCUUCCAUGUCUGAACCAAAGUCCACAGAGUCCCCGGAGGAGAGAGCAGUCAAAGUGGAGGAAGAGGAGAAAGCAGUCAAAGUGGAGGAGGAGGAGAGAGCAGUCAAAGUGGAGGAGGAGAGAGCCGUCACAGAGGAGAUGGAGGAGGAGAGAGCAGUC